CCUACGGGAGGCAGCAGUGGGGAAUAUUGGACAAUGGGGGGAACCCUGAUCCAGCCAUGCCGCGUGUGUGAAGAAGGCCCUCGGGUUGUAAAACACUUUCAGUGAGGAAGAACGCCUGGUGGUUAAUACCCAUCAGGAAAGACAUCACUCACAGAAGAAGCACCGGCUAACUCCGUGCCAGCAGCCGCGGUAAUACGGAGGGUGCGAGCGUUAAUCGGAAUUACUGGGCGUAAAGCGCGCGUAGGUGGCUUGAUAAGCCGGUUGUGAAAGCCCCGGGCUCAACCUGGGAACGGCAUCCGGAACUGUCAAGCUAGAGUGCAGGAGAGGAAGGUAGAAUUCCCGGUGUAGCGGUGAAAUGCGUAGAGAUCGGGAGGAAUACCAGUGGCGAAGGCGGCCUUCUGGACUGACACUGACACUGAGGUGCGAAAGCGUGGGUAGCAAACAGGAUUAGAUACCCGAGUAGUC
rnacentral:rRNA from 1 species